AAUGGGCGGAAGCCUGAUCCAGCCAUCCCGCGUGCAGGAUGAAGGCCCUCCGGGUCGUAAACUGCUUUAGACUGGGAAGAAACCACUUUUCGUGAGAAGUGUUGACGGUACCAGUAGAAUAAGCACCGGCUAACUCCGUGCCAGCAGCCGCGGUAAUACGGAGGGUGCAAGCGUUAUCCGGAAUCACUGGGUUUAAAGGGUGCGUAGGCGGCUUGGUAAGUCAGGGGUGAAAGCUUCGCGCUUAACGCGAGAACUGCCUUUGAUACUGCCGAGCUUGAAAGAGGUUGAGGUUAGCGGAACGUGACAUGUAGCGGUGAAAUGCAUAGAUAUGUCACAGAACACCAAUUGCGAAGGCAGCUGACUGGACCUACUUUGACGCUGAGGCACGAAAGCGUGGGGAGCGAA
rnacentral:rRNA from 1 species